CCAGAAUCCAGGCCCUCUGGGUUUUCCUUUCCUCCAGUGUUUGACUGAACCCCUCCUGGAGCCCCAGUGGGCAAGUGCGUGGCAUCUGUGUCCACAUAAUUCGUGGCACCUUGGGCUGGAAUGUCUGCCUGUUGUGCCACAUCUAGAUCGUUUAGGGUGAGGGUGAGAGUUGAGCCCUCCCUUUCCCCCAACACACACAUGUACACACACACACACGCAAAGACACAAACAUCCACCUACUCUCACCUCCCCCCACCGCCUCCCCCGGGUUGAGUCGGGCUAAGAGAGAAGACAGGACAUUUUUAUCUGUAUUUAAUCACCACAUUCUCUCCCACAAUUACUCUGUAGGAUUCUUCCCAUGUAUGUGGACCAACUGCUCCACGUUGAAAGAGUUUGAGGCAGCAAUAUCUCUGACGGCUUUCGUAGGUUAUUUGUUUGCAUCUCAGACUCCUCUCCUAAAUCCUGCUAGGGCACACGUCCCCCCAGCUCCACCCAGGUUAUGAAUGUCAUUGCUGAGCUCUGCGUAACGAGGUUUGAGUUCAGUUUGUCUGGCAACACUUCUGGAUGUAAUCUGUUCCGUGCAAUGAGUCACCAAGGUCAGCAUCUCCCCACGAGGGAGGUUUCUGUGUGGGUCUGGCUUGUUCUCCCGACCAGCCUCUAUCACUUCUGAGUGCUGUGAGCUUGGAAUUACUGUGACACCUGCCCCUUGGCCCUCCAGCUACUUGGACAUACUUUGGCCUGUCUAUCAGGACUCGUUUUGAAAAGCAAGUGGGAUAUUAUAGUAAAACGUCUGAUACAGCUUUUCUCACCUGCAGCUGUGACCCACUGGUGACAUAAAUUUGAUGGGUUGUGACCAGCGUUAAAAAAAUAACUGUUGCUGACAUUGAGUCUUCAGUGAAUAGGAGCAUCAUCACCUCUCAGUGGAAGAAGCAGGCGAGAGAGAGAGAGAGAGAGAGAGAGAGAAGAGAAUGUUUUUAGAAUAUGGGUCUUGGCCAGAUAAUAGAACGGAUGCUCCAAGGCGUCUGUCUCUAUUCUGACUCAUGCGUUGGCUGUGAGCUUGAGGAAGUCAUGACAUUCUCUAUAGAAGGGAACUGGAGCGAUCCCUCAACUCAGCGCAGAUAACAUUCUGAUAACAGGAGCUUCAAGAUCACUGGAAACAAAGCACUGCUGUUCCCUUGUGCCGUCUGGCCCUUGCA